GAACUUAAGCAUAUCAAUAAGCGGAGGAAAAGAAACCAACCGGGAUUGCCCCAGUAACGGCGAGUGAAGCGGCAACAGCUCAAAUUUGAAAUCUGGAGCCUUUGCGGGCUUCCGAGUUGUAAUUUGCAGAGGGAGCCUCGGAGGGCGAGUCGGUCCAAGUGCCUUGGAACAGGAUACCGCAGAGGGUGAGAGUCCCGUAUCCGGCCGGCGGCGCGCUCCGUGUGAGGCCUCUUCGACGAGUCGAGUUGUUUGGGAAUGCAGCUCCAAGCGGGUGGUAAAUUCCAUCUAAAGCUAAAUACUGGCCAGAGACCGAUAGCGAACAAGUAGAGUGAUCGAAAGAUGAAAAGCACUUUGAAAAGAGAGUCAAACAGUACGUGAAAUUGUUGAAAGGGAAGCGCAUGGGGGCAGACUUGGCCGCGGUGUUCAGGGUGCGUUCUCGCGCCUGUACUUCGCCGCGGACAGGCCAGCAUCGGUUCUGGGGGCCGGACAAAGGCGCUGGGAAGGUGGCAGCCUUCGGGGUGUGUUAUAGCCCGGCGCGCAAUGCGGCCACCUGGGACCGAGGACCGCGCUUCGGCAAGGAUGCUGGCGUAAUGGCCUCAUGCGGCCCGUCUUGAAACACGGACCAAGGAGUCUAACAUCUAUGCGAGUGUUUGGGUGGCAAGCCCGGGCGCGCAAUGAAAGUGAACGGAGGUGGGAUUUCUGGGGAACUGGAAAGCACCAUCGACCGAUCCGGACGUGUUCUGAAGGAUUUGAGUAAGAGCAUAGCUGUUGGGACCCGAAAGAUGGUGAACUAUGCGUGAAUAGGGUGAAGCCAGAGGAAACUCUGGUGGAGGCUCGCAGCGGUUCUGACGUGCAAAUCGAUCGUCAAAUUUGCGUAUAGGGGCGAAAGACUAAUCGAACCAUCUAGUAGCUGGUUCCUGCCGAAGUUUCCCUCAGGAUAGCAGUAACGUAUUCAGUUUUAUGAGGUAAAGCGAACGAUUAGGGAGCUAGGGGUUGAAACAACCUUUAUCCAUUCUCGAACUUUAAAUAUGUAAGAAGUCCUUGUUGCUUUGUUGAACGUGGACACUCGAAUGCAGCGUUACUAGUGGGCCAUUUUUGGUAAGCAGAACUGGCGAUGCGGGAUGAACCGAACGUGGGGUUAAGGUGCCGGAAUGCACGCUCAUCAGACACCACAAAAGGUGUUGGUUCAUCCAGACAGCAGGACGGUGGCCAUGGAAGUCGGAAUCCGCUAAGGAGUGUGUAACAACUCACCUGCCGAAUGAACCAGCCCUGAAAAUGGAUGGCGCUCAAGCGUGCUACCCAU
rnacentral:rRNA from 1 species